CAUUCAACAUACCUGAAAUGAAGCUAUGGACUCUAUUCUAUUGAGGGCUCAGGGCUCCCUUCCACGUCAAUCUCCUUGGAAGGAUAUGCCAUUGUUCUUUCUUCUAAUGGUUAUCCAAAAACACCACCAAACUUGGUUAGGAAGUGUCAAGGAACAUUUGUGCCACCAGCCUUGGCAGAGGAGUUCAAAGUUCAUCAGAAAUGUUCUGAAAGGUCCUGUCCCAGCAUGAGUAGCCAGCUGUUCACAGAACAUAAGUUCAGGGGAAGAAAAUUCAUUAAACCCAACUUAGUUUUCUCAAGAGACCACUAUAUUUGACAUAUCUAUUAAGACAUAAAAGGCAGUUGAUUGUGGAAAAUAACAGCAGACUCCUAAUUUAAACAGAGAACUCAGGACAGGAUUACUUGAGGAUGUAACAUUGAAAAGGAGUCAUGAAGAUGGCCAAGUGCAGGUGAGAGGAAAGAAGGUGAAGUAGGAAGUACAUAAUGGAGGCUCCAUGGCUGGAAUAGCUGGUUUCAAAGAAGGAAGUAAGGCUAUUGUCAUUGCUGGAAAGAUGGGGUGCUACCAAAUCAGGAGCAGCCUCCAUGCUUCUAUGAGGAUUAUAGACACUCUGCAUUCAACAGAUUGUCAUGGAGAAUCAGGAAAAUCACUUUUGAAGUCAUUUCUUCUUUUCUACCCCUUAAUUUAGUUAUUUGUAUUUCUGUAUUUUUAAAAUAUAUAGAUCCAUUGAAUAGA